UCCCAACCCAUAAAUCCCUUUUCCUUUCCGAUUGAUGAAUUACAUCUGUUUUCAAUACAUUUAUAGGAAUUUGAAAGCAUAGGUGCCAGUUCAGAAACGCAACCGAAUAGUGAACAUGAUGUGCAAUUUGCUGAUGUUUUGACUCAAGGUGAUAUGACCCAGGGAGAUUUGGAUGGAACCUCAAGUUGACAAGGGGCAUGUUUUGAUGAAGAUUUUCAUUGUUAUUCCUAAUCUUGUUACCCAUAUAUAUGGCCGUUGGUGUAUGGCUGACCUUCAUGUUUCUGAAAGAAGGGAAGAUUGUGGACAAAGUGGUGGGAGCAAAGAAAGAGGAACUGCAGCAGACUUUACAAAGAAAGAGGCCACAAAGCUUAUGAUCACUGCUAUAUAAAUCUAGACAUUUAUAUUUAACCUUUUGGCUUGUAAAAGUCUGCUGUGGUACUUGUGUUUUUCAUCUGAUAUCUCCAAACCUGAUCUUAUGGUGCUUGUAUCUAUAUCUUAGCUCUUUUCAUGGUUGGAAAGAACUCUACUGGGUGGUAUA